GGCGCUGUAGUGUAGUGGUUAUCACUCGGGAUUUUGAAGCGUAGAUUACAAUCGACGCGAUCGUUCCCGUAACCCAGGUUCGAACCCUGGCAGUGCCU